rnacentral:rRNA from 1 species
UACGAAGGGAGCUAGCGUUGUUCGGAAUCACUGGGCGUAAAGCGCACGUAGGCGGAUGUGUCAGUCAGGGGUGAAAUCCCGGAGCUCAACUUCGGAACUGCCUUUGAUACAGCACGUCUUGAGUCCGAUAGAGGUGGGUGGAAUUCCUAGUGUAGAGGUGAAAUUCGUAGAUAUUAGGAAGAACACCAGUGGCGAAGGCGGCUCACUGGCCCGGUACUGACGCUGAGGCGCGAAAGCGUGGGGAGCAAACAGG